UCGCUUUUAGCACAAUGGUAGUGUACCCGUCUUCGGAACGGUGGAUAUUGGUUCGAUUCCAAUAAGGCGGUA